UACAGAGGUCCCAAGCGUUGUUCGGAUUUACUGGGCGUAAAGGGUGCGUAGGCGGUCUGUUGCGUCGGCUGUGAAAACCCGAGGCUCAACCUCGGGCCUGCAGCCGAUACGGGCAGACUAGAGUUCGGCAGGGGAGACUGGAAUUCCUGGUGUAGCGGUGAAAUGCGCAGAUAUCUGGAGGAACACCGGUGGCGAAGGCGGCAUCCUGGACCGGUAUUGACGCUGAUGCGCGAAAGCCAGGGGAGCAAACGGG
rnacentral:rRNA from 1 species